rnacentral:rRNA from 1 species
UUAAGCGACUAAGCGUACACGGUGGAUGCCCUGGCAGUCAGAGGCGAUGAAGGACGUGCUAAUCUGCGAUAAGCGUCGGUAAGGUGAUAUGAACCGUUAUAACCGGCGAUUUCCGAAUGGGGAAACCCAGUGUGUUUCGACACACUAUCAUUAACUGAAUCCAUAGGUUAAUGAGGCGAACCGGGGGAACUGAAACAUCUAAGUACCCCGAGGAAAAGAAAUCAACCGAGAUUCCCCCAGUAGCGGCGAGCGAACGGGGAGCAGCCCAGAGCCUGAAUCAGUGUGUGUGUUAGUGGAAGCGUCUGGAAAGGCGCGCGAUACAGGGUGACAGCCCCGUACACAAAAAUGCACAUAUUGUGAGCUCGAUGAGUAGGGCGGGACACGUGGUAUCCUGUCUGAAUAUGGGGGGACCAUCCUCCAAGGCUAAAUACUCCUGACUGACCGAUAGUGAACCAGUACCGUGAGGGAAAGGCGAAAAGAACCCCGGCGAGGGGAGUGAAAAAGAACCUGAAACCGUGUACGUACAAGCAGUGGGAGCCUCUUUUAUGGGGUGACUGCGUACCUUUUGUAUAAUGGGUCAGCGACUUAUAUUCUGUAGCAAGGUUAACCGAAUAGGGGAGCCGAAGGGAAACCGAGUCUUAACUGGGCGUUAAGUUGCAGGGUAUAGACCCGAAACCCGGUGAUCUAGCCAUGGGCAGGUUGAAGGUUGGGUAACACUAACUGGAGGACCGAACCGACUAAUGUUGAAAAAUUAGCGGAUGACUUGUGGCUGGGGGUGAAAGGCCAAUCAAACCGGGAGAUAGCUGGUUCUCCCCGAAAGCUAUUUAGGUAGCGCCUCGUGAAUUCAUCUCCGGGGGUAGAGCACUGUUUCGGCAAGGGGGUCAUCCCGACUUACCAACCCGAUGCAAACUGCGAAUACCGGAGAAUGUUAUCACGGGAGACACACGGCGGGUGCUAACGUCCGUCGUGAAGAGGGAAACAACCCAGACCGCCAGCUAAGGUCCCAAAGUCAUGGUUAAGUGGGAAACGAUGUGGGAAGGCCCAGACAGCCAGGAUGUUGGCUUAGAAGCAGCCAUCAUUUAAAGAAAGCGUAAUAGCUCACUGGUCGAGUCGGCCUGCGCGGAAGAUGUAACGGGGCUAAACCAUGCACCGAAGCUGCGGCAGCGACGCUUAUGCGUUGUUGGGUAGGGGAGCGUUCUGUAAGCCUGUGAAGGUGUACUGUGAGGUAUGCUGGAGGUAUCAGAAGUGCGAAUGCUGACAUAAGUAACGAUAAAGCGGGUGAAAAGCCCGCUCGCCGGAAGACCAAGGGUUCCUGUCCAACGUUAAUCGGGGCAGGGUGAGUCGACCCCUAAGGCGAGGCCGAAAGGCGUAGUCGAUGGGAAACAGGUUAAUAUUCCUGUACUUGGUGUUACUGCGAAGGGGGGACGGAGAAGGCUAUGUUGGCCGGGCGACGGUUGUCCCGGUUUAAGCGUGUAGGCUGGUUUUCCAGGCAAAUCCGGAAAAUCAAGGCUGAGGCGUGAUGACGAGGCACUACGGUGCUGAAGCAACAAAUGCCCUGCUUCCAGGAAAAGCCUCUAAGCAUCAGGUAACAUCAAAUCGUACCCCAAACCGACACAGGUGGUCAGGUAGAGAAUACCAAGGCGCUUGAGAGAACUCGGGUGAAGGAACUAGGCAAAAUGGUGCCGUAACUUCGGGAGAAGGCACGCUGAUAUGUAGGUGAAGCGACUUGCUCGUGGAGCUGAAAUCAGUCGAAGAUACCAGCUGGCUGCAACUGUUUAUUAAAAACACAGCACUGUGCAAACACGAAAGUGGACGUAUACGGUGUGACGCCUGCCCGGUGCCGGAAGGUUAAUUGAUGGGGUCAGCGCAAGCGAAGCUCUUGAUCGAAGCCCCGGUAAACGGCGGCCGUAACUAUAACGGUCCUAAGGUAGCGAAAUUCCUUGUCGGGUAAGUUCCGACCUGCACGAAUGGCGUAAUGAUGGCCAGGCUGUCUCCACCCGAGACUCAGUGAAAUUGAACUCGCUGUGAAGAUGCAGUGUACCCGCGGCAAGACGGAAAGACCCCGUGAACCUUUACUAUAGCUUGACACUGAACAUUGAGCCUUGAUGUGUAGGAUAGGUGGGAGGCUUUGAAGUGUGGACGCCAGUCUGCAUGGAGCCGACCUUGAAAUACCACCCUUUAAUGUUUGAUGUUCUAACGUUGACCCGUGAUCCGGGUUGCGGACAGUGUCUGGUGGGUAGUUUGACUGGGGCGGUCUCCUCCUAAAGAGUAACGGAGGAGCACGAAGGUUGGCUAAUCCUGGUCGGACAUCAGGAGGUUAGUGCAAUGGCAUAAGCCAGCUUGACUGCGAGCGUGACGGCGCGAGCAGGUGCGAAAGCAGGUCAUAGUGAUCCGGUGGUUCUGAAUGGAAGGGCCAUCGCUCAACGGAUAAAAGGUACUCCGGGGAUAACAGGCUGAUACCGCCCAAGAGUUCAUAUCGACGGCGGUGUUUGGCACCUCGAUGUCGGCUCAUCACAUCCUGGGGCUGAAGUAGGUCCCAAGGGUAUGGCUGUUCGCCAUUUAAAGUGGUACGCGAGCUGGGUUUAGAACGUCGUGAGACAGUUCGGUCCCUAUCUGCCGUGGGCGCUGGAGAACUGAGGGGGGCUGCUCCUAGUACGAGAGGACCGGAGUGGACGCAUCACUGGUGUUCGGGUUGUCAUGCCAAUGGCACUGCCCGGUAGCUAAAUGCGGAAGAGAUAAGUGCUGAAAGCAUCUAAGCACGAAACUUGCCCCGAGAUGAGUUCUCCCUGACUCCUUGAGAGUCCUGAAGGAACGUUGAAGACGACGACGUUGAUAGGCCGGGUGUGUAAGCGCAGCGAUGCGUUGAGCUAACCGGUACUAAUGAACCGUGAGGCUUAACCU